rnacentral:rRNA from 1 species
GGGAUUAGAUACCCCUGUAGUCCUAGCAGUAAACGGUGUGCGCUUGGUGUGAGGGGAUUCGACCCCCCUUGUGCCGGAGCUAACGCGUUAAGCGCACCGCCUGGGAAGUACGGCCGCAAGGCUAAAACUCAAAGAAAUUGACGGGGACCCGCACAAGCGGUGGAGUAUGUGGCUUAAUUCGAUGCAACGCGAAGAACCUUACCAAGGCUUGACAUGGAUUUCUAAGCACGUGAAAGCGUGUGACCCUUCGGGGGACUUCCACAGGUGCUGCAUGGCCGUCGUCAGCUCGUGUCGUGAGAUGUUGGGUUAAGUCCCGCAACGAGCGCAACCCCUGUGAUUAGUUGCCAGCACGUAAUGGUGGGGACUCUAGUCAGACUGCCCAGAUCAACUGGGAGGAAGGUGGGGACGACGUCAGGUCAGUAUGGCCCUUACGCCUUGGGCUGCACACGUACUACAAUGCCCAGCACAAUGAGAACCGAGACCGCGAGGUGGAGGAAAUCUGUAAAACUGGGCCCAGUUCGGAUUGGAGGCUGCAACUCGCCUCCAUGAAGCCGGAAUCGCUAGUAAUGCUGCAUCAGCUACGGCAGCGUGAAUACGUUCCCGGGUCUUGUACACACCGCCCGUCACAUCAUGGAAGCCGGUAGCACCCGAAGUGUC